AAAAGGAUCCUUUUCUCCAGAGGAAAGAUAAUGAACGGUACCUUGGAAAAAAGAAAGCCUCGGCUAACUCCGUGCCAGCAGCCCGCGGUAAGACGGAGGAGGCUAGCGUUGUUCGUAAUUACUGGGCGUAAAGCGUGCGCAGGUUGUGAGUUCCAGUUGGAUGUGAAAGCCCGGGGCUUAUCCUCGGAUGUGCAUACAAUACUGGCUCGCUGGAGGUUGGAAGAGGAGAGUGGAAUUCCCAGUGUAGAGGUGAAAUUCGUAGAUAUUGGGAAGAACACCAGUGGCGAAGGCGGCUCUCUGGUCCAUACCUGACACUCAUGCACGAAAGCGUGGGGAGCAAACAGGAUUAGAUACCCUGGUAGUCCACGCCGUAAACGAUGUGUGCUAGACGUCGGAAGGCUUGCCUUUCGGUGUCGCAGCUAACGCGAUAAGCACACCGCCUGGGGAGUACGGCCGCAAGGUUAAAACUCAAAGGAAUUGACGGGGGCCCGCACAAGCGGUGGAGCAUGUGGUUUAAUUUGAAGCAACGCGCAGAACCUUACCAGCCCUUGACAUGGGAAGUAUGGACUUGAGAGAUCAGGUUCUUCAGUUCGGCUGGCUUCCACACAAAGUGCUGCAAGGCUGUCGUCAGCUCGUGUCGUGAGAUGUUGGGUUAAGUCCCGCAACGAGCGCAACCCUCGCCUUCAGUUGCCAUCACUUCUAGGUGGGCACUCUGAAGGAACUGCCGGUGACAAGCCGGAGGAAGGUGGGGAUGACGUCAAGUCCUCAUGGCCCUUACGGGCUGGGCUACACACGUGCUACAAUGGCGACUACAAUGGGAAGCGAAGGAGCGAUCCGGAGCCAAUCCACAAAAGUCGUCUCAGUUCGGAUUGCAGUCUGCAACUCGGCUGCAUGAAGUCGGAAUCGCUAGUAAUCGUGGUUCAUCCCCCCACGGUGAAUACGUUCCCGGGCCUUGUACCCACUGCCCCUCCCCCCAUGGGAGUUGGUUCUACCUUAAGCCGCCGCGCCGACCGCAAGGGGCAGCGGACCCCGGUGGGUAAUCU
rnacentral:rRNA from 1 species